rnacentral:rRNA from 1 species
GGCCAUUUUCAUGCCAGUCGAACGGUAACGCGGAGAGAGCUUGCUUCUCUCCGGCGACGAGUGGCGAACGGGUGAGUAUACAUCGGAACGUGUCCGCUCGUGGGGGACAACCAGCCGAAAGGUUGGCUAAUACCGCAUGAGUUCUACGGAAGAAAGAGGGGGACCCGCAAGGGCCUCUCGCGAGCGGAGCGGCCGAUGACUGAUUAGCCGGUUGGUGAGGUAACGGCUCACCAAAGCAACGAUCAGUAGCUGGUCUGAGAGGACGACCAGCCACACUGGGACUGAGACACGGCCCAGACUCCUACGGGAGGCAGCAGUGGGGAAUUUUGGACAAUGGGCGCAAGCCUGAUCCAGCUAUUCCGCGUGUGGGAUGAAGGCCCUCGGGUUGUAAACCACUUUUGUAGAGAACGAAAAGACACCUUCGAAUAAAGGGUGUUGCUGACGGUACUCUAAGAAUAAGCACCGGCUAACUACGUGCCAGCAGCCGCGGUAAUACGUAGGGUGCGAGCGUUAAUCGGAAUUACUGGGUGUAAAGGGUGCGCAGGCGGUUGAGUAAGACAGAUGUGAAAUCCCCAAGCUUAACUCGGGAAUGGCAUAUGUGACUGCUCGACUAGAGUGUGUCAGAGGGAGGUGGAAUUCCACGUGUAGCAGUGAAAUGCGUAGAUAUGUGGAAGAACACCGAUGGCGAAGGCAGCCUCCUGGGACAUAACUGACGCUCAGGCACGAAAGCGUGGGGAGCAAACAGGAUUA